rnacentral:rRNA from 1 species
GAUGAACGCUGGCGGCGUGCCUAAUACAUGCAAGUCGAGCGAACAGACGAGGAGCUUGCUCCUCUGACGUUAGCGGCGGACGGGUGAGUAACACGUGGAUAACCUACCUAUAAGACUGGGAUAACUUCGGGAAACCGGAGCUAAUACCGGAUAAUAUAUUGAACCGCAGGGUUCAAUAGUGAAAGACGGUUUUGCUGUCACUUAUGGAUGGAUCCGCGCCGCAUUAGCUAGUUGGUAAGGUAACGGCUUACCAAGGCGACGAUGCGUAGCCGACCUGAGAGGGUGAUCGGCCACACUGGAACUGAGACACGGUCCAGACUCCUACGGGAGGCAGCAGUAGGGAAUCUUCCGCAAUGGGCGAAAGCUUGACGGAGCAACGCCGCGUGAGUGAUGAAGGUCUUCGGAUCGUAAAACUCUGUUAUUAGGGAAGAACAAAUGUGUAAGUAACUAUGCACGUCUUGACGGUACCUAAUCAGAAAGCCACGGCUAACUACGUG